rnacentral:rRNA from 1 species
CUACGGGGGGCUGCAGUGGGGAAUAUUGCACAAUGGAGGAAACUCUGAUGCAGCAACGCCGCGUGGAGGAUGACACUUUUCGGAGCGUAAACUCCUUUUAUAUAGGAAGAAGAUGACGGUACUAUAUGAAUAAGCGCCGGCUAACUCCGUGCCAGCAGCCGCGGUAAUACGGAGGGCGCAAGCGUUACUCGGAAUCACUGGGCGUAAAGAGCGUGUAGGCGGAUUAAAAAGUCAGAAGUGAAAUCCUAUAGCUUAACUAUAGAACUGCUUCUGAAACUCUUAAUCUAGAAUAUGGGAGAGGUAGAUGGAAUUUCUGGUGUAGGGGUAAAAUCCGUAGAGAUCAGAAGGAAUACCGAUUGCGAAGGCGAUCUACUAGAACAUUAUUGACGCUGAGACGCGAAAGCGUGGGGAGCAAACAGGAUUAGAUACCCUAGUAGUC